CCCAGACUCCUACGGGAGGCAGCAGUGGGGGAUAUUGCACAAUGGGGGGAACCCUGAUGCAGCGACGCCGCGUGGGUGAAGAAGUAUUUCGGUAUGUAAAGCCCUAUCGGCAGGGAAGAAAUUGGACGGUACCUGACUAAGAAGCCCUGGCUAACUACGUGCCAGCAGCCGCGGUAAUACGUAGGGGGCAAGCGUUAUCCGGAUUCACUGGGUGUAAAGGGAGCGUAGACGGCCAUGCAAGCCUGGAGUGAAAGCCCGGGGCCCAACCCCGGGACUGCUCUGGGAACUGUGCGGCUGGAGUGCGGGAGGGGCAGGCGGAAUUCCUGGUGUAGCGGUGAAAUGCGUAGAUAUCAGGAGGAACACCGGCGGCGAAGGCGGCCUGCUGGACCGCGACUGACGUUGAGGCUCGAAAGCGUGGGGAGCAAACAGGAUUAGAUACCCUUGUA
rnacentral:rRNA from 1 species